GUGUCAGCCGCCGCGGUAAUACGAAGGGGGCUAGCGUUGCUCGGAAUCACUGGGCGUAAAGGGCGCGUAGGCGGGUCUUUAAGUCAGGGGUGAAAUCCUGGAGCUCAACUCCAGAACUGCCCUUGAUACUGAGGAACUUGAGUUCGGGAGAGGUGAGUGGAACUGCGAGUGUAGAGGUGAAAUUCGUAGAUAUUCGCAAGAACACCAGUGGCGAAGGCGGCUCACUGGCCCGAUACUGACGCUGAGGCACGAAAGCGUGGGGAGCAAACAGGAUUAGAUACCCGUGUAGUCC
rnacentral:rRNA from 1 species